AUGAGGUAAAUGCAGGAUCUCUGGAAAGAUGCUGAUGUCAUUAGAGUGUGCAAUAAGUGUAUGAAGUAGCUUGCAGUUUGCCACAGUUGUGGGAAUUGUUUUCAGUUUGUUGCCACUCAGAUUCAGCUCUUCCAAGCGUUCCAGCUUACUGAGUUUGCUCGCAGGGAAAGCCUGAAGGUUGUUGUUCGCCAGAUGCAGGAUCCGUAGGUUCGGGUGUCCCACCAAGACAGGGAUGCACUGAUCCGUGAGGUUGUUAUUGGUCAAGUAAAGCAGCUGCAGCAUGCUCAGACUCUCCUCCCCUGUAC
rnacentral:lncRNA from 1 species